UACGUAGGGUGCAAGCGUUGUCCGGAAUUAUUGGGCGUAAAGAGCUCGUAGGCGGUUUGUCGCGUCUGCUGUGAAAACUCGGGGCUUAACCCCGGGCCUGCAGUGGGUACGGGCAGACUAGAGUGCGGUAGGGGAGACUGGAAUUCCUGGUGUAGCGGUGAAAUGCGCAGAUAUCAGGAGGAACACCGGUGGCGAAGGCGGGUCUCUGGGCCGAUACUGACGCUGAGGAGCGAAAGCGUGGGGAGCAACAGG
rnacentral:rRNA from 1 species